UACGUAGGAGACGAGCGUUGUCCGGAGUUACUGGGCGUAAAGGGUGCGCAGGCGGCCUGGCGCGUCGCGAGUGAAAUCUCCCGGCUCAACUGGGAGGGUGGUCGCGAGACGGCGAGGCUUGAGGCUCGGUGAGGGGCGUGGAAUUCCGGGUGGAGCGGUGAAAUGCGUAGAUAUCAUUUGGAACGCCAAUGGUGAAAACAGGUAGCUGGGGAUGUGCUGACGCUGAGACACGAAAGCCAGGGGAGCAAACGGG
rnacentral:rRNA from 1 species